CCUCGAGGGGUGGGGGUCCUUAGCGAGCCCAACCUCCCACCCGUGUUUACUGUACCUUAGUUGCUUCGGCGGGCCCCCUUAACAUGGCCGCCGGGGGCUCUCAGCCCCGGGCCCGCGCCCGCCGGAGACACCACGAACUCUGUCUGAUCUAGUGAAGUCUGAGUUGAUUGUAUCGCAAUCAGUUAAAACUUUCAACAAUGGAUCUCUUGGUUCCGGCAUCGAUGAAGAACGCAGCGAAAUGCGAUAACUAGUGUGAAUUGCAGAAUUCCGUGAAUCAUCGAGUCUUUGAACGCACAUUGCGCCCCCUGGUAUUCCGGGGGGCAUGCCUGUCCGAGCGUCAUUGCUGCCCAUCAAGCACGGCUUGUGUGUUGGGUCGUCGUCCCCUCUCCGGGGGGGACGGGCCCCAAAGGCAGCGGCGGCACCGCGUCCGAUCCUCGAGCGUAUGGGGCUUUGUCACCCGCUCUGUAGGCCCGGCCGGCGCUUGCCGAACGCAAAUCAAUCUUUUCCAGGUUGACCUCGGAUCAGGUAGGGAUACCCGCUGAACUUAAGCAUAUCAAUAAGCGGAGGAA
rnacentral:rRNA from 1 species